CAUCCCCACAUUUCAUUUCGAGAAUUUGACCCCAUUUCAAAUCCCUAACUUCAUUCAUAUCUCAUUCAUCAGGCCGUGUGAUGGAUUCUCUCCAUUUUAUUUCUGGACAUGACUUCUCUUCUUCAAGCAAUAAAAAUUCACGAAAAAAUUCCAGAAUUGUUUUUCAUCUACGUAGUUUUCUGCUGGAUCUUGAUUUUAAAUUCGCGGACGCUUCAUUUCACGUUGAAAUUGCUGCUUCAAUUCAAAGAAUCCUAGUCAUGGCUCAAAACCCAGGUAAAAGAAUUUCUUUAAAUCCCCAUUUUAUAAAUUUAUUUCAUGUUUAAAUGUGGAAGCCUCAUAUUUGCUGGGUAUUAUUCGUUUCCAUCUUAAUGAAGGAAAACGACGACGAAAGUAAUAUCAUAGUUUGAUUUGCAUUUGUACAAGAUAUCGUAAUUAAACAGUAGGGAUUUGAUUGAAAUUGUGGGUCAUGGAUCAAUAUAAUUGCUCAUAUUUAUUGGGCAUUACUCUUUUCUAUCGUAAA